GUGCACGCUGGCGGUCGGCCUAACACAUGCAAGUCGAACGGCAGCACAGUAAGAGCUUGCUCUUACGGGUGGCGAGUGGCGGACGGGUGAGGAGUACAUCGGAAUCUACUUUUUCGUGGGGGAUAACGUAGGGAAACUUACGCUAAUACCGCAUACGACCUACGGGUGAAAGCAGGGGAUCUUCGGACCUUGCGCGAUUGAAUGAGCCGAUGUCGGAUUAGCUAGUUGGCGGGGUAAAGGCCCACCAAGGCGACGAUCCGUAGCUGGUCUGAGAGGAUGAUCAGCCACACUGGAACUGAGACACGGUCCAGACUCCUACGGGAGGCAGCAGUGGGGAAUAUUGGACAAUGGGCGCAAGCCUGAUCCAGCCAUACCGCGUGGGUGAAGAAGGCCUUCGGGUUGUAAAGCCCUUUUGUUGGGAAAGAAAAGCAGCAGGUUAAUACCCCGCUGUUCUGACGGUACCCAAAGAAUAAGCACCGGCUAACUUCGUG
rnacentral:rRNA from 1 species